CCUCCCUCCGUCCAUGAUCACUCACGGAGUAUGUCACCGAGUGGCACCAUCCUUCAAGCCGGGCGGCAGAGCUCCAUUUCUGGCUCCCCUCCCGCCUCCUUAGCACCCCCCACGACGGGGCUUAGCAUUCUUUAGAUUUACAUUGUUUAAAACUUCAGAUUUGAACAAUGUAAAUCUGAAGUUUUCCCUGCAACCAGUGGGUAUAUGUAAUUCUUGGAGUAAUUCUUGGUGGCAGCAUUGAUCGAUGUAAUUCUUGGAGUUCGGUUGGUGUAAUUCCUGACCAUCCUCUACCCACAUUAUUUCCCAAGGACUAGGAUGAUGAUCUACAAGUUUAUUGGGAGGGGAUUGGAGUUGUACAGAAUAUUUGUUGUUGGCCUAUUAUGUACUGAAAAGUAGAGUGUUUUGGUGAAGUUUUGAAA